AGCAGUGUGGCUCAGUGGGAAGAGCACAUGCUUUGGAGUCAGAGGUCAUAGGUUCGAAUCCCAGCUCUGCCA
rnacentral:tRNA from 1 species